rnacentral:lncRNA from 1 species
UUUAAGGUAGUUGUGAAAAUUAGCUUCCUUUCCUAACUAUAGUCCUUUUCUUUUCAUUUGUACAGAUGUAAAAUACAUGAUGUCAGUACAACCGUGUUUGCAACUGUCACCUGUUUCAAAGAAUUUUGUAAGAAUUAACUCUGAGGGAUUGUUGUUAUCUACUACCCUGCUGUUUUCUUGGAUAAUCUGCAGUCCUGAACAAUUGUGAUAGCAGCAGCAGCCUCCCCAGUUGUUUUGUUUGUGGACAAAGAGGCAGAUCAUCCUUUCCUGGCUAAUGGAGUGCAUUAGGUGAAUCCAGGACAUGUCAUCCUCCCUGUGCAUGUGCUGUGCAACUGAUCCAUGAGUGCAUAACAAGUCUAAGAUAUUUCUGAAGCUGUUGAUUAACAGCAGGCCAUCUGUGCGUGGCCCACAGACACGUGUCCAGGUGUUCCAACUUGUUUGGUAGAAAUCUGUUCUUCCAUGUGAAAUUCUGGCAGAGACACUUUUGUCAUUCCAUAUUUAAUUAGUGGUGUAACCUUGGUCCAUUUAUUCUAAAUACAAUGUACCAUGGACAUCUAAUUUGUUUGAUCAAAUCCAGACAUAAAUUCAGAAGCAGUCAUUGGAAAAAUAUUAAUGUGAAGUCAGUUUAAUUCUAUAGUAUGAAUAUGGGGGAAACCAUAACUAGACUUAAAAUACUCUAAUCAUGUCUGAUUUUUCUUCCUCUUUCAUCUUAUAUAGCUAUUGACAGUGCUGUAAAAUACAAGAACAGUUUACAAAAUCAAAAUGUUGACAUUUGUCACAUAUUGACCACAAAACCCCGGGUUAAAAACUAAGGUUAUGGAAGACCUCAGGUGUUUGGGUUGUUGUCAAAAGAGAACUGUAGUUUUAACUGAAAUAAAAAAAAAGCAUAAUGUCCA